rnacentral:rRNA from 1 species
AUGAAUGCAACAACUGUACCAUAUUCAUUCGUCUGUAGAAGCUUCUAUAUGAUAUCAAUCAAAACAAAUCGACACAUACUCUUGUAUGUUGAUGGAGAUGGGGCUAUACUGAAGAACUCCAGCAGCGCAGACCUGGUUACCCACCAUCGUGAUGGGAAGAAAAGGACACCGCAUCAAGAGAUGAAAAGGAAGAGAAAAGCUGACUACCUUAUUCCUCUGUUCUCUUUGUUGCCUCAACCUCUUCAAAUUCCUGCAAGUAACAAUUCAUCUUUUAGUGGCUCAAUGGAAAUGGAUCCCAUGUACUAG